AGUUUGAUCCGUGGCUCGAGGAUGAACGCUAGCGGCAGGCUUAACACAUGCAAGUCGAGGGCAGCGGGGUGUAGCAAUACACUGCCGGCGACCGGCGCACGGGUGCGUAACGCGUAUGCAACCUACCCAUAACAGGGGCAUAACACUGAGAAAUUGGUACUAAUUCCCCAUAACAUUCGAAGAGGCAUCUCUUUGGGUUGAAAACUCCGGUGGUUAUGGAUGGGCAUGCGUUGUAUUAGCUAGUUGGG
rnacentral:rRNA from 1 species